AUGGCCGACAGCACUCACUGAAACAGCCAAGGUGGAAAUACAAUGGAGACAUAGGUGUUGAACAGCAUAUUUGAGCCUGAAUCAGAGGAAGAAUUUGAAAUAGACGAGCAACCAGUUGCCCAUAGAUUGGAAAUGACUACUUCAGAGUGGUUAUUAAAAGAAUGACCCAGGUUCCUGAGGAGCUGACCUGAAUGACCAUCAUGGCCUCGAUCCGUUGUGCCUCUAUAUUCUUUGCAAAAUGCAAUGAAUAUUUACAGAGCUGACCCUGGCCGUUUGAGAAUCAGAGGAAUGGAAAGGCAAUGAAGUGACUUGGCCUACAGGUCUUUUGUGAGCAGGAGUUGGGGUUUCCUUAGAAGAAGCUGCG